rnacentral:sRNA from 1 species
UUUUUUUUUUUAUUUUUUUAACAAUAUGUAUAGGUGUUCGUACAUACUCGUAGCUCGUCGUAAACUUUUAAACAAUUGUUUAAAUAUUUAAUUAUAACUAGGUCCCUCCACGUAUUUUGGAAACCGAUGAAUCACAAAGCAACGACAUAAAAAUUAAUUAUGUUUUUAUGAUUGCAAUCAGCAACAAAUCAUCGCUUAAAAUGUGUUCUGUCUCCACCUCUUUUGCAUAAGGAAUAUGUAACUAGUGUGAUCAGCUUAUUAAGCAUUGCAACAUUUCAAUGAAAGCCGGUUCUAUGCACCGAACUGAUCCCAUGGUUUCUAUAUAGGCCAUCAUCAACGCCUCAACGUUCGUUCGUACGGAUUAAGAGAAUUUGGGACAAACUCGAAAACAAAUGUUUGUCUUUCAUAAGUAUGUAUGUGCCGGACAUGAAACAAAAAUCCUUGUGAGGCGCAGAAAAAUUCUCAAAUUGUGGAAAUACACCGUGUUUGGAUAUGUUAGACUGGCAUUAGUUUGCUUGUGGUAUAAGUCUCUUCAUCAGACUUUUAUAAAUAAUCGUUUAGUCCAUAAUUUUUGUAUAGACGCCAGUUUCACUGUUAAAAAUAAAAACUACAAUUCUCACGGCUA